ensembl:lncRNA
CACCUCCCUCCUCUUCCUCCUCCUCCUCCUCUUCCUCCUGCGGGCCGCCGGGCCCGUUGGGCCACUGGUGAUUUGUGUUGGUCCUCGUCAGGCUGAGGUUUCUCUGAGCCGUUCCUCCAUCAGCAAUCUUUGAAAUCUGUGUGGAAUUUGCGACGUUUCCCCCCGCGGCGUCCAGCUGGCAGUCCACUAGUCCACUAGUCCACCAGUCCACUGGUCCACCAGGCCACCAGUCCACUGGUCCACCAGGCCACCAGUCCACUGGUCCACUGGUCCACUGGUUCAUAUUCAGUUCCCGAGGUGAUGGCGCGUUCCUCCCGCCCGCUCAGUGUCCUGCUCACGUGUGUGUGUGGUUUGUUUUCCGGGGGCCAGGUGGGUGACGGCGAGGCGUCGGAGGCCCCCAGCAUGCCGGCGGAGGAGGCGGUCUGAGUCCGGCUCGGGCCUCGCUGCUCUGCAUCAUCCGCCCCCGCCCGCCCAGAGGGAUGACGGCGCCGUGGCGCUCGCUGUGGCUCUGCUUCCUGCUUCCUCUCUGCGUGGCCCCCGCCAGGCUGCCCACCGCUCCGCCCACAGGUAGGACGCGCCGCCCUGCUGUGUUUCUGGUUUUGGGCGUCAUGCCAGAGCGGCGUGGAAGGACCAACCCCCCCCCCCCCAAAUAAAACAAAACAGGAAAGACAACGUUCAGCUGCUCACCGGCUCCUCAAUAGUUCCCUGCUUCAUUUUCCAUGCUGAUACGACUGAAUUAGAGCCGCUUGCUUUUCUGUGCGUUCAUCACUUCAAAAGGAACAUUUAUUGUGUAUGUGGCUCUCUGUCUCUCUCUCUGUCUGUCUGUCUCUCUGUCUGUCUCUCUCUCCGUCUCUCUGUCUGUCUCUCUCUCUGUCUGUCUGUCUCUCUGUCUGUCUCUCUCUCCGUCUCUCUGUCUGUCUCUCUCUCUGUCUCUCUCUCUGUCUGUCUCUCUGUCUCUCUCUCCGUCUCUCUCUCUGUCUGUCUGUCUCUCUGUCUGUCUCUCUCUCCGUCUCUCUGUCUGUCUCUCUCUCCGUCUCUCCGUCUGUCUUUAUCUCACUAGCAGUAUUUAAUUGGCGUCUUCUUGCUUCGCUGAGAUUCUCGCUGUUUGUUCUCGAGGCGGCGAAACCCCCCAAGAUCGGCCCAAAGUGAACGCGGAGCCGUGUUUGCUUUAAUCUCUCCGUAUUGCGCAAUAAAGCCUCCCCCAAAAAAUCAAAGCAGAGUAAUUCUUUUCUGAGGCGUCCAUGUGUUGCCCCCCCCCCAUUUUCAUUUUAUGUGCAAGUUAUUUUGUCUUUGACAUGUGUGUGUGUGUGUGUACAGAGACCUGCAGUGUGCGUGUGUGUGUGCGUGUGUGUGUGUGUGUGUGUGUACAGAGACCUGCAGUGUGCGUGUGUGUGUGUGUGUGUGUACAGAGACCUGCAGUGUGUGUGUGCAGAGACAUACAGUGUGUGUGUGUGUGUGUGUGUGUGUGUGUGUGUGUGUGUGUGUGUGUGUGUGUGUGUGUAGACCUGCAGUGUGUGUGUGCAGAGACAUACAGUGUGUGUGUGUGUGCAGAGACAUACAGUGUGUGUGUGUGUGCAGAGACAUACAGUGUGUGUGUGUGUACAGAGACCUGCAGUGUGUGUGUGCAGAGACAUGCAGUGUGUGUGUGUGUGUGUGUGUGUGUGUGUGUGUGUGUGUGUGUGUGUGUGUACAGAGACCUGCAGUGUGUGUGUGCAGAGACAUGCAGUACCUGCAGUGUGUGUGUGUGUGUGUGUGUGCAGACCUGCAGUGUGUGUCUUUCAGUGUGCACCUUCCAGACAACCGGACCAGAUGGACGUCACACUCGCACACUUUGGACUUUAAUGCUGUUACACUUGACGUCCUUGAGACUUGAACCACCACUCAAGAUCUCAAGUUUCCAGACAAAAAUCAGCGACAGCCUGAAAAGGCGCCGGUGGCCGAGCGUCUUUCUGCCUUCAGAGGAUUUAGUGUCAACUUUGCGAAGAAGGAGCGCGACUAACGCAGCUUUCGGAAAGGAACGUCAUCGCUGAAUACUCGAUCGCGAUUCGUCAAUGACGGCAUUCUACGCUCUGUUGUCUCCGUCGUCAUGGACACCGCUCUGAUCCCGUACCUGCCGAAGAGAAGCUACAAAACUAGACCUGUUAUUCUUUAAAAGCCAUAUUUC